UGUAAUCAUACAGUAUUCUGUAAACAUAAAUGUUGCACAUUUAAAACUGGUCUUAUUUAAUAAUAUGUGUAAUAUCUAAUCGUGUAUGCAAGUUAAAUUGCAUUCAAAGGACUCAUUCAUCUCGUGUAACGUAAUGUAAUGUGAAAAAGGCACCAGUUAACACGAAACACCUGCAGACGGGUACAUGGCUGACCGGGAGCAGCUAGCAGCUAGCAGCCGGAGUACGAAGAUGAUAGCCGGGGUCUACCUCCCUCGUCAUCCCGGAGGGAAAGCGAUCCGAUGAACGGACCUGCAGCUCUUUGAACCACUUUGGAUAUUUAAUGAAAUUUUGUCCGACGUUUUCGGAGAUGUGGGAUCCACAGACCGGGAGCAGCUGCUUAUAAGCAGCCGGACUAUGGACAUGAUCACCGGCUCGGUGAACCUCCGCCAUCAUCCCGGGGACAAAACGAUCUAAUGAACUGGCCUGAAAUUUACCGCUGGGUAAUAUAAUCCCUUUUGGAAGAUAAAUGUUGGUUUCACAGAUGAAAUUAACAACUGCAGCCGCAACAUUAGUUUUUCUGAAUGUAAAAUGAAGCUUCAUGUUUUUACUGGACUGAACAACAGCGUUUCCUCUGGGGCUGCAACAUGUUAUAAGUAUAUAUAACACAAUCUAAAUAAAUAUAAAUGUAUUUAAAUAAACAGAUCAGUCUAUAUUGAAUUUCGUUUUAUGUUAUUAAGUAAGACAUAAGUUUGGGGUUUUAUUAUAUCUACAUUACAGAAUGAAUAACAUCAUUUAGUGUAUCUCUCCGAUCGUGAGGUUAUUUUUUAUGAGGAAAAAAAGGUGUCAGUGGAGCAGUAAAAUCGCCAUUAAGGUACACCCAGUAUGCCUUGUGAUUGCGUGAUCAACAUGCGUUAUCGUGAUAGGGGAUAUAAUUCUAAUCUCUAUCGUAGGCCAUUUUUUUAUCGUUUAUAUCGUAUGUCGUUUAUAUCGCGCAUUCCUACACCAGACAGCUAGUAAAUACAACUCCGAUAAAAGAUUAUUUCACUAACAUCUCCUAGCUGUCAACACUAACUGACCAGGUCCUACUUGGUUAACAGUCGUGACGCCCAAAUCUUACCUAUCUUCCACUCAACAACUGCAGUGUGAGUAAGAGACCAAAGCUAAUCCUGUGUGCGCCUGCUCUUACCAAGCUGAAAGCUAUUCAGCAUCACCACAUGUGGAAGCCUCAAAUUCUGCAAAACCACAACAAAAGGAUGGAGGACUGUGGUCCACAUUUUACAGAAGAACAAUAAAAGGACAGUCCAGCCUCCCAUCUGCUCGCUGUCUCUACGCAAGACUGUAUAUGUGAGGGAGAAAGAAGAGGAAGAGAGGGAAAGACACAGAGCGAGGGAUAUAAAGUUUCUGUGUGUCUCGCAGACAGACCGACACACACCUUCUUUUGUCAGGGGCACACUAAAAGCCGGAGAGAAGAGGCUGUGUUUAGACAGUCGGAGAACAUCUUCAAUCACCAGCUCAACAGCAGGAGAGGCCGCUUUUAAACAGUAUGUCAAUGGAGAAUUCCUGAAACUGGGAUGAGAUAGCUGUGGGUCAAGGCCCAGUUAUGACACUAACAGGCUGUUCAGUCAUAGAGUGACUACGUUACUGGUGUAUAUUAGCAGGCAAUGGAGGUAUUUAGCUUCCUGGUGCUGGCUGCAUGUGAAUUGAACUGGUAGUGAAAGGGGUUUCAUCCUCUUAUGUCAACAAGUUGUUUGUUUUUGUUCCUCCUGAAUAAAAAUGAAAUGAAAGGUA